rnacentral:rRNA from 1 species
CCGCGCCGCCGGAUAACCGUAGUAAUUCGUAGGGCUAAUACGUGCGAAGCGCCGAAGCCGCGAGGCGACGGCGUUCUCGCCGGAUGUAGGAACCGACCCGGGGACCGCCGGGGCAACCCGGCGCCCCCGAGACGGGGCGAACCACGGUGAAAUGACGGAUCGUCGGCCCCGCGCCGGCGACUCGCCGAAUGAGUUUCUGACCUAUCAACUCGAGACGGCGGGGUAGAGGCCCGCCGCGGUAACGACGGGUAACGGGGAAUCAGGGUUCGAUUCCGGAGAGGGAGCCCCGAGAAACGGCUACCACUUCCAAGGAAGGCAGCAGGCGCGCAACUUACCCUAAUCUCGAUUCGAGGAGGUAGUGACAAGAAAUACCGAUGCGGGACCCUACGGGUGCCGCGUUCGGAAUGAGUACGAUUCGAACCACCUAACGAGGAACGAUCGGAGGGCAAGUCUGGUGCCAGCAGCCGCGGUAAUUCCAGCUCCAAUAGCG